AUCUAAAUAUUCAAUAAUGAUUUUAAAUUGCAAAUUUAAAGGUAAAAUUAAUUUUUUUAGAUU
rnacentral:tRNA from 1 species